GAGGAAUAUUGCGCAAUGGAGGAAACUCUGACGCAGCCAUGCCGCGUGCAGGAAGACGGCCCUACGGGUUGUAAACUGCUUUUAUCCGGGAAGAAACCCCAGGACGUGUCCUGGGUUGACGGUACCGGAGGAAUAAGCUCCGGCUAACUCCGUGCCAGCAGCCGCGGUAAUACGGAGGGUGCAAGCGUUAUCCGGAUUCAUUGGGUUUAAAGGGUGCGUAGGCGGGGUGGUAAGUCAGUGGUGAAAUCCUGCAGCUUAACUGUAGAAUUGCCAUUGAUACUGCCAUUCUUGAGUGCGCUUGAAGUGGGCGGAAUGUGCCGUGUAGCGGUGAAAUGCUUAGAUAUGGCACAGAACACCAAUUGCGAAGGCAGCUCACUAAGGCGAUACUGACGCUGAGGCACGAAAGCGUGGGGAUCGAAC
rnacentral:rRNA from 1 species